UACGAAGGGUGCAAGCGUUACUCGGAAUUACUGGGCGUAAAGCGUGCGUAGGUGGUUUGUUAAGUCUGUUGUGAAAGCCCCGGGCUUAACCUGGGAAUGGCAAUGGAUACUGGCAAGCUAGAGUGCGGUAGAGGGUAGUGGAAUUCCCGGUGUAGCGGUGAAAUGCGUAGAGAUCGGGAGGAACACCAGUGGCGAAGGCGGCUACCUGGACCAGCACUGACACUGAGGCACGAAAGCGUGGGGAGCAAACAGG
rnacentral:rRNA from 1 species